rnacentral:rRNA from 1 species
CACAGGGAUUGCCCUAGUAACGGCGAGUGAAGCGGCAACAGCUCAAAUUUGAAAUCUGGCUCUUUCAGAGUCCGAGUUGUAAUUUGCAGAGGGCGCUUUGGCUUUGGCAGCGGUCCAAGUUCCUUGGAACAGGACGUCACAGAGGGUGAGAAUCCCGUACGUGGUCGCUAGCUAUUGCCGUGUAAAGCCCCUUCGACGAGUCGAGUUGUUUGGGAAUGCAGCUCUAAAUGGGAGGUAAAUUUCUUCUAAAGCUAAAUAUUGGCCAGAGACCGAUAGCGCACAAGUAGAGUGAUCGAAAGAUGAAAAGCACUUUGGAAAGAGAGUCAAACAGCACGUGAAAUUGUUGAAAGGGAAGCGCUUGCAGCCAGACUUGCUUGCAGUUGCUCAUCCGGGCUUUUGCCCGGUGCACUCUUCUGCAGGCAGGCCAGCAUCAGUUUGGGCGGUGGGAUAAAGGUCUCUGACACGUUCCUUCCUUCGGGUUGGCCAUAUAGGGGAGACGUCAUACCACCAGCCUGGACUGAGGUCCGCGCAUCUGCUAGGAUGCUGGCGUAAUGGCUGUAAGCGGCCCGUCUUGAAACACGGACCAAGGAGUCUAACAUCUAUGCGAGUGUUUGGGUGUCAAGCCCGAGCGCGUAAUGAAAGUGAACGGAGGUGGGAACCCGCAAGGGCGCACCAUCGACCGAUCCUGAAGUUUACGGAAGGAUUUGAGUAAGAGCAUGGCUGUUGGGACCCGAAAGAUGGUGAACUAUGCUUGAAUAGGGUGAAGCCAGAGGAAACUCUGGUGGAGGCUCGCAGCGGUUCUGACGUGCAAAUCGAUCGUCAAAUUUGGGCAUAGGGCGAAAGACUAAUCGAAACU